CAUGUAUCGCCUAGCCUAUUUUUCUGAGCAUACCACGUCGUUUAUUGCAAAGUGUGAUUUUCCAGUAAAGUUAUUUUUAAAUCUGGCAAUGCGGUUGCAUUCACGAGAUGUUAAUCUAUAAUUCUUUGAAUGAAAAUAUUACAUUUUAACAAUGUUUUCGAAUAGUAAUUUUGUAAAUUGUAGCGCUGAUUCACCGGAAGCAUUUGAGGGAAAGUAUUUUCUGAACGUCACGCGCCGAUGUAAAAUGCUGUUUUUAUAUAUAAAUAUGAACUUUAUCGAACAAAAAAAUGCAUGUAUUGUGUAACAUGAUGUCCUAGGAGUGUCAUCUGAGGAAGAUUGUCAAAGGUUAGUGCUGCAUUUAGCUGUGUUUUGGGUAUUUGUGAUGCAUGCUAGUUGCUUUGAAAAUGGCAGUGUGGUUAUUUCUGGCUGGGUACUCUCCUAACAUAAUCUAAUAUUUUGCUUUUGCUGUAAAGCCUUUUUGAAAUCGGACAACGUGGUUCAAUUUAGGAGAGGUGUAUCUAUAAAACGGUGUAAAAUAGUCAUAUGUUUGAGAAAUUGAAGUUAUAGCAUUUAUGAGGUUUUGUAUUUCGCGCGACGCGAUUCCACUGGCUGUUGACUAGGGUGGGACGCUUGCCCAGAGAGGUUAAACCAUAAUAAAAACAUAAAACAUGUAGUUAGGUUCUAGCUGCGGCUCCAGUUCUGACAUUAUGUGUAGGCCUAGCUGAGGCGACCCCGAAUCCCGAGUUUUGGCUCGAUAGGUCAUUCGGUGCCCGAGCAGCGACCUUAAUUGGUGCUGAAAAUCCACAUUUUCCGGGCGUUGCUAUGGGGUCCUUGAAUGAGCUAUCGGACAGAAACUUUGGGGUCCGUCUCUAUGGGCCGAGGCAGUUUCAAUGCUUAUAUUCCUGCGACUCUGGAACUUUUCUAAAUGUCGUCAUUUUCAUGAUGGUCAAAAUGAAUUGACGUUAUUGCAAAUGUACGAGGCUGUUUCUCGGUCUGAGAACCUUCUAGAGCCACAUAACUCACCAUGCACUAUCGACUUGAGCUCUAGAACAGGUUUCUAAGGUUUCAGAUCUCUAGGUCUGACAGUUCCUUGAUAGUUCAAACAAAGGUAACUAUUGCAGGCUGUGUGUGUCUGUAAGCACCACACUGUGUCACUCCGUCCUUGCUGUGUGUGUGUGUGUGUGUGUGAGCUUUUCUUGGAAAUCUUAUGGGAGAAAUGACUGAUUUACAGUACAUGAGGGUUACCUAGUCACACAUAUGAAGUUUUGGAAAGAUGUAACUUUUUUAACCCUUCAAAACUGCCACUGUGACCCCAAUUUAAGGCACUUCCGGUUGGCACAGGAAGCUUAAAGUAAACACAUAUCCUCAUUGAGGUAGGCAUUUACAUAAUCCUGAGUUUUAAGUCUUUAUGUUAAGAACUGACUGAUUUACACAGGGUUGAAUGCACUAUUUCAUACAAACUGCAGGUUGGGUAUGGCAAAACACUUUUAGGGUGAAUUUAAUCACUUCCGGUUGCUCCAGGAAGCUUAGAAUCAACACAGGUUCAUAAGGCAUUCAUAACCCACAUAGGCUUCAGGUUGAAUUAAUGUGAGCAGGCAUUGUAUGCCUAUGGGGAGAGAAGUCAUUGCAAACUGUUUGAUGUAAACACCUUCUUUUCACUGUUAAGGGUUAAUGCCACACGGUCAAGGUUAGACUUGCACAGAUCAGGAG
rnacentral:lncRNA from 1 species